AAAAGCUAAGUUAGGGCGUAUGGUGGAUGCCUUGGCUCUGAGAGGCGAAGAAGGACGUGAUAAGCUGCGAUAAGCUGCGGGUAUUGGCACAUACAAAUUAAUCCGCAGAUUUCCGAAUGGGGCAACCUAUCAUAUUAACUAUAUGAUAUUACUUUUUUAAAGUAAUGCUAACCUAGAGAACUGAAACAUCUAAGUAUCUAGAGGAAAAGAAAACAAAAGUGAUUCCGUUAGUAGUGGCGAGCGAAAUCGGAAAAGCCCAAACCAUUAUGGUUUAGGCCAUAGUGGGGUUGUAGGUCUACAAUAAAGGAUUAUUUUUAUAUAGUAGAAUGAUUUGGAAAAAUCAAUCAUAGAAGGUGAUAUUCCUGUAUACGAAAUAGAAAAAUAACCUAGUAGUAACCUGAUUAGGACGGGACACGGGAAAUCUUGUCUGAAUCUACCGGGACCAUCCGGUAAGGCUAAAUACUACUCAGAGACCGAUAGUGAACUAGUACCGUGAGGGAAAGGUGAAAAGUACUUCGAAUAGAAGGGUGAAAUAGAUCCUGAAACCAUACGCUUACAAGCUGUCGGAGCCCUCUUAAUUUUAUUAGGAGUAGGGUGACGACGUGCCUUUUGCAUAAUGAACCUACGAGUUAAUUUUUCCGGCAAGGUUAAGUAGUUCAGCUAUGGAGCCGUAGCGAAAGCGAGUCUGAAUAGGGCAUUUAGUCGGAAGAAUUAGACGCGAAACCGAGUGAUCUACCCAUGAGCAGGUUGAAGCUGUGGUAACACAUAGUGGAGGACCGAACCGGUUGACGUUGAAAAGUCUUCGGAUGACUUGUGGGUAGGGGUGAAAGGCUAAUCAAACUCGGAGAUAGCUCGUACUCCCCGAAAUGCAUUUAGGUGCAGCAUCGUGUUAAAUAUGACAGAGGUAGAGCUACUGAUUGGAUGAAGGGGUUUCAUCACCUACUAAUUCCUGAUAAACUCCGAAUGCUGUUAUUAUGUUUCACGGUAGUGAGGGCAUGGGUGCUAAGAUCCAUGUCCAAGAGGGAAACAACCCAGACCAUCAGUUAAGGUCCCUAAGUAUAUAUUAAGUUGUAUAAACAAAGUUUAAUUACACAGACAGCUAGGAUGUUAGCUUGGAAGCAGCUAUUCAUUUAAAGAGUGCGUAACAGCUCACUAGUCGAGUGAUUGAGCGUGGAUAAUAAUCGGGCAUAAAUAUAUCACCGAAACUAUGGGAUUGAAAAAUCGGUAGGGGAGCAUUGUAAUAGCGUUGAAGUUAUAUUGUAAAAUAUAGUGGAGUAAUUACAAAAGAAAAUGUAGGUAUAAGUAACGAUAAUGCGGGAGAGAAAACCGCACACCGAAAAACUAAGGGUUCCUCAGCUAUGUUAAUCAACUGAGGGUUAGUCGGGUCCUAAGAUGUAAUCGAAAGGUGUAAUCGAUGGGUAACCGGUUAAUAUUCCGGUACUUGCUUUUAUUGCGAUGAGAAGACGGAGUUAUGAAACUGUCGCGUACGGACGGAAGUGUACGUUGAAAUAGUUAGGUAUAAAAUAUAUAGGAAAAUCCGUAUAUUUUGCUAAGCUAUGAUAGUACCAUAAACCUUCGGGCGAGUGGAUAGUACAGGUAAGAGCUUCCAAGAAAAUCCUCUAAGCUUCAGAUAAAAGUGAUCCGUACCAAAACCGACACAGGUAGUUAAGGAGAGAAUCCUAAGGUGCUCGAGUGAUUCACGGCUAAGGAACUAGGCAAAAUUAACCUGUAACUUCGGGAUAAAGGUUGCCUUCCUUAAAAAAGAAGGUCGCAGUGAAGAUAUCCAGACGACUGUUUAUCAAAAACAUAGGACUCUGCUAAAUUGAAAAAUGAUGUAUAGGGUCUGACACCUGCCCAGUACUGGAAGGUUAAAGAAAAAGGUUAGCUUCGGCGAAGCUUUUAACUGAAGCCCCAGUAAACGGCGGCCGUAACUAUAACGGUCCUAAGGUAGCGAAAUUCCUUGUCGGGUAAGUUCCGACCUGCACGAAUGGUGUAACGAUCUGGAAACUGUCUCAGCCGUGAGCUCGGUGAAAUUGUAAUAUCGGUGAAGAUGCCGAUUACUCGCAAUGGGACGAAAAGACCCUGUGAACCUUUACUAUAGCUUCGUAUUGGUUUUGAUUAAAAAAUGUGUAGGAUAGGUGGGAGACUUUGAAGUACUGUCGUCAGAUAGUAUGGAGUCAACCUUGAAAUACCACCCUUUUUUUAAUUGAAAUCUAACUUAAUUAUUGAUUGAGGACAUUGCGUGGUGGGUAGUUUGACUGGGGUGGUCGCCUCCAAAAAGGUAACGGAGGCUCCCAAAGGUACCCUCAACACGUUUGGUAAUCGUGUGUAGAGUGUAAUGGCAUAAGGGUGCUUGACUGUGAGACCUACAAGUCGAUCAGGUACGAAAGUAGGGCAUAGUGAUCCGGUGGUUCCGCAUGGAAGGGCCAUCGCUCAAAGAAUAAAAGGUACUCCGGGGAUAACAGGCUAGUCUCCCCCAAGAGCUCAUAUCGACGGGGAGGUUCGGCACCUCGAUGUCGGCUCGUCACAUCCUGGGGCUGAAGAAGGUCCCAAGGGUUGGGCUGUUCGCCCAUUAAAGUGGCACGCGAGCUGGGUUCAGAACGUCGUGAGACAGUUCGGUCUCUAUCUAUUGUGAGCGUUAGAAGCUUGAGUGGAGCUGAUUCUAGUACGAGAGGACCGAAUUGGACGAACCUCUGGUGUAUCAGUUGUAUCGCCAGGUGCAUCGCUGAGUAGCUACGUUCGGAAGAGAUAAGCACUGAAAGCAUAUAAGUGCGAAACUCACCACAAGAUUAGGCUUCUUUUAAGGGUCGUUGAAGACUACAACGUUGAUAGGCUAUAAGUGUAAAGACAGUAAUGUCAUAGCUAAGUAGUACUAAUUACCCAUAGGCUUAUAUUU
rnacentral:rRNA from 1 species